rnacentral:rRNA from 1 species
AUGUUUCAUUUUUAUCAGGACUUGGUGAAGAUCGAGUGCCAAAGAUGGAAGAGCAAGGGCGUGAACAUCAGGUACGAGGUCAGACAGAACCGCAAGGGGUACAAGGCCGGCGCGCUCAAGGAAGGGUUGAUACGCGACUACGUGCGGGAGUGCGAGUUCAUCGCCAUGUUCGACGCCGACUUCCAGCCCGAGUCUGAUUUCCUCCUGAGGACCGUCCCAUUCCUCGUGCACAACCCCGACAUCGCCCUUGUCCAGACUCGUUGGAAAUUCGUUAACUCAGAUGAGUGUUUGUUGACAAGAUUCCUGGAGAUGUCACUGGACUACCAUUUCAAGUUUGAACAAGAGGCUGGAUCUAUAGUGUACUCGUUUUUUGGCUUCAAUGGGACAGCCGGUGUUUGGAGGAUCUCGGCGAUCAAUGAUGCCGGGGGGUGGAAGGAACGGACGAUGGUGGAGGACAUGGACCUGGUUGUUCGCACGGCACUGCUGGGCUUGAAGUUCGUGUAUAUUGGCGCCGUCAAAGUCAAGAGUGAGCUCCCAAGCACAUUCAAGGCAUACCGAUUUCAACAGCACAGGUGGUCAUGUGGACCAGCAAACCUGUUCAAGAAAAUGUUGGUAGAGAUUCUACAGAACAAGAAAGUGUCGUUUUGGAGCAAACUCCACCUGUUGUAUGACUUCUUCUUUGUUGGGAAGAUCAUUGCUCAUAUAGUGACAUUCAUCUACUAUUGCUUUGCGACCCCGGUGUCCGUUUUCUUCCCUGAGAUUCAGAUACCUCUCUGGGGCGUGGUCUAUGUUCCAACUGUUAUCACCCUCUGCAAGGCUCUUGGAUCACCAAGUUCAUUUCAUCUGGUGAUCCUCUGGGUCCUCUUUGAUAAUGUGAUGUCAUUGCACCGGAUAAAAGCCACAAUAACUGGUCUACUCGACGCUAGACGAGUCAAUGAAUGGGUUGUCACUGAGAAAUUGGGAGAUACCAACAAGACAGAGCCAGCCAUGGAAGGAUUAAAUGAUGUUCAAGUGAUAGAUGUCGAGCUAUCGACGCCCCUAGUGCCAAAGCUCGAGAAGAGGUACAACUGCUCAGAGAUUUUUGUUGGAACCUGCAUAAUUAUAUGUGGCUGCUAUGACGUGCUUUACGCAAACAAAGGAUGCUACAUCUACCUCUUCAUUCAAGGCGUAGCAUUCCUCGUCAUCGGUUUUGAGUACAUCGGCACACGCCCUCCCGGCGCCGAAUAA